rnacentral:rRNA from 1 species
ACAGCAACUCCAGAACAAUCUGACAUUCCAGUGUCUGCUAAUGACAUGUGUUCCCUUGCUGAAUGGCCAUCCCAUGCUCGCCGCAACUGUGCGCGACUACAGGAUGAAGCUGGUGGACAGAAGAAGAAAGGGCGAGGUGUUCUAAAAGGUUUUAAAGCAUCUAAGAAGCAUUUUGCCAAUGGAUCUGCAAAGCUAAAUAUUACAUUCUCUGAAAAAUUGGGUGGUACAGUAGGAAUGAACUAUCGUUCGUUCAAGGAUGACGUGGUAGUCAUAAUGAAAAGAAAGUUACCACUCAUUGGAGUGAGGACAUGGUCGGACAUUCACCCUACCAUUCAUCGACUCAUUGUUGCAGAUAUAAUAGACAGAUGGGACCUGGAAGAUACACCAGAAACAGAAGAAAAAGUUCUCAAAAUUGCGAAAGAGAGAUAUAGAGGCUGGCGAUCAACUCUAAGCUCCACUUACAAGGCAUACAAAACAGAUGCAGCUAGAUUUGCUAAUCUGCCUGAAGAUUUACAACCAGAAGAGUGGGAAUGGAUGAUUGAUUACUUUGGCACUGAUUCAAAAUUUCAGGAACACAGCCAAAAGAACGCUGAUAACCGUAAGAAACAGAAGACAAAACAUAUAAUCGGAUCAAAAUCUUACUCGCAAGUUAGUUUUGAGAAGAGAAACUUACAAACUGGAGAAGAGCCAGAUUGUAUUGCUCUAUGGGAACUCACCCACAUAAACAAUGGAACAUGGUCUAACACAGAUUCCCAGAAAGUUUACGACCAAGCACUUGAAGAGUUUAAAAACAAAGAAGCUGAAACUGAAGGUCCACUUUCAAGUGAGCAGAAAAACAAUGUUUUCCAGACCGCUUACAAAGACACUCUGGAAUGCAAGUCAUCGCAGCCUCGUGGGUACGGAUACAUGGCUAAAACUUCAACUGGUUCUGAAAAGUUUCGUAUCCAGAUUGAAGAGCAAACUCGUGCUACAGCAGCCACCCAGGAGCGAAACUCUCAGCUCAGCCAGCAGGUCAAUGACUUAGAAGAUCAACUACAAGCUGAACGUGCUAACACACAAGAGAGGAUUAACUUGAAGCGUGCUGAGAGAGAACAACUUGAGGAGAGGUUAAAAGAAGAGUGUGCUGAAAGGGAAAGAUUGUUGCAAGAAGAGCGAACAUCAAGACUGAAAUUUGAAAAAAACAUGAUGGCAAAGUUUGUAGAAUUGAGCAAACAGAUGGAAACCCAACAGGUGAUGGUGAUUACAGUCAUAUGCUUCUGA